rnacentral:rRNA from 1 species
UACGUAGGGUGCAAGCGUUAAUCGGAAUUACUGGGCGUAAAGCGUGCGCAGGCGGUUCGCUAAGACCGAUGUGAAAUCCCCGGGCUUAACCUGGGAACUGCAUUGGUGACUGGCGGGCUAGAGUAUGGCAGAGGGGGGGUAGAAUUCCACGUGUAGCAGUGAAAUGCGUAGAGAUGUGGAGGAAUACCGAUGGCGAAGGCAGCCCCCCUGGGCCAAUACUGACGCUCAUGCACGAAAGCGUGGGGAGCAAACAGG